CUCUCCUCCUCAAAGCGGCACCUAGACCGGGUGAACUCUGCGGAUGCGUCCACGUGAUUAGCGGAGCGACACAAACAGUGCCUAGUACAAUCUAGAGUAUACACUUUUCGUGAUUCAAUAUGUAACCUGUCAGAACGAAGGGACGAGUAUGUGCCAAGAUUGCCAGCGACUGCACUUGGCAUGACGUACAUAGGCAGUCGAUUUAGUCAUCCGAGGAACAGAGAUGCAGCUUUCAUGAGGUACUCCACCGAGUCCUGAACCGUGCAGCGGGGAAUUACUCUGGGUCACUGUUAGUGGCACCGUCUGCGUGGAUUAAGUUGCUUCUUACUCUAACGAUUCAGGUGGCGAAGCUUGUUGACCGGAGUGGCUCACACUUGCAUUAACUUCGCUGCAGAAUAAACGGUACUGGGAAUCGAAACUGAUGCAGAUGUGCUGCAGACAGUACGCAGUUCCUUUGGGACAAUAACGCUAUUACGUAGUAUCUUUGUUGGACACAUAACAGGCAAUGAAUAACACCACAUGCGAAUUUUCCUUUAAUCUGUUUUCUGCUAGCUAUUCGGCUGUUCUCCUUCUCUUUUGGCACCAGUUGCGGCUACCUCUACAAGAAGGGGGGUCAAAAGAGCGGCCUCUACUUGGCCCGUCUCCGUCUUCCUAGUCCCUGUGUUCUUCCGCACUUUAUCACACUACCCGUCGAAGUUGUCCCGGCACCUGCAACACUUUGUAUGCAGAAGGUAUCUCUCUGCCAUAAUAUCGACAUAGGUUUAGUGCUGUAUCUGAUGGCAACGACGGUUUUGAACUGUUACUCAGAGCAGAGCAAUCGUAAACACCUGUUUGUCGCAGCACUGGUGCUGCCGUCGACACAGGCGUAAUACGAGGACAAUUGUGUGAACAAUGUUCUCUAAACUCGACGGUUCGUGGUUUAUGCUUCUUUGCGCCGUAGAAGUCUCCACAUCAACGAGCUGGGGCAAAAG
rnacentral:lncRNA from 1 species